rnacentral:lncRNA from 1 species
ACAAUCUUGACGUCAAAAAUUAAGAUGUUCCUAAAUAACCAGAUCUGAUAUGCGAUGUAUGCCAUCGUAUCACUGGAGGCUUGGCCCUCUAUCAUGCUCCGACGGAGCGUAUCCAAGAAUGAGUUGAGCCAGGAGCCACUCAUAGCUCCUCAGGGUUAGCCUCCAGCCAUACCUCAGAUUAAGCAUGCUUGCGGACAACAAAGCAGAGCAUACUUUGUCGUCCCAUCCUCCAACC